UACGGGGGGGGUAAGCGUUGUUCGGAAUCACUGGGCGUAAAGGGCGUGUAGGCGGGAAUGUAAGUCGGGCGUGAAAUCCCUAGGCUCAACCUAGGAACUGCACUCGAAACUGCGUUUCUUGAGUAUCGGAGAGGAAAGCGGAAUACCUGGUGUAGAGGUGAAAUUCGUAGAUAUCAGGUGGAACACCAGUGGCGAAGGCGGCUUUCUGGACGAUAACUGACGCUGAGACGCGAAAGCGUGGGGAGCAAACAGG
rnacentral:rRNA from 1 species